AGCGAACGCUGGCGGCAUGCUUAACACAUGCAAGUCGAACGGUAACAGGCCCUUCGGGGUGCUGACGAGUGGCGGACGGGUGAGUAAUACUUAGGAAUCUACCUGGUUGUGGGGGAUAACCCGGGGAAACUCGGGCUAAUACCGCAUACGUCCCUCUGUCUUUGNGACGAAGGGGGGGGAAAGCGGGGGACCUUCGGGCCUCGCGCUAUCAGAUGAGCCUAAGUCCGAUUAGCUAGUUGGUAGGGUAAUGGCUACCAAGGCGACGAUCGGUAGCUGGUCUGAGAGGACGACCAGCCACACUGGGACUGAGACA
rnacentral:rRNA from 1 species